UAAUUGAUAGAUAUAUGCCGCCCUAGCUCAGUUGGUAGAGCGCAAGGCUCUUAACCUUGUGGUCGGGGGUUCGAGCCCCCCGGGCGGCGCG